rnacentral:tRNA from 1 species
GCACCAGUAGCUCAGCUGGAUAGAGUACCGCCCUCCGAAGGCGAAUUGCCUUGUUCGGUGCUCCA